ensembl:lncRNA
CUGGGAUCAUGUAAAUGAGCCCACCAGCUCAGGGGGUGAGGAGGGGCUCCCGGCUCCCUGCCUCCCAACAGGCUGUGCGGCCAGGCCUUCCCCUGGGGGUGCCCCUGGGCAGGACCGGCUGACACGGAAGGAGCAGCUGUGCGCAUCCUGCAUCCCAAGGCCACACUGUCCAGCCAGGUUUGGGAAAGCCAGCGGGGCUGAUCCGAGCCUGUCACAGCCUCUCAGGGCUUCUGGGGUCUUAGGAUAAAGGCUGAAACCCCACUGGAGCCAUAAGGAUGAGCCCCUGCAGCCCCCCUAACCCACACCGCCCGUCCCUCCAGACGCAUGGAACUCCCUCCCCUCAGGGACCACCCUCAUCAGGCUUCUGCCCACCACAGGGCCUUUGCACAGACUGUCCCUGCCACGGACGAUGUUUUUCCCUCUUCACUUACUUACAGUUAAUUCGUCCUUCAGGCUCCAGGUGGAGCGCCACCCCCUAGGGAAGCCCUCCUGUCGUCUCCAGCAUCCUCCUCCCUUUGGACACUCCUUCUCAGCCCCCCGCAGACCACCCUUGGGUGGCUGGCACUAUGACUGAAGCAGAACCAUAGGUCGUGCCUGUCUCCCCAUGAGCCCGUGAGAACCACGAGCGCAGGGGCCUCGUUUCCUUUCAUCGCUGCCCCCCGACCCAGUGCCUGACAGUGCUGGCUCGUAGAGGGGCCUAACUAAUAUUUGUGGAAUGAAUGAAUGAAUGAAUGGGGCAGAUCUGCAAAUUCAUCCUCGAACCAGAGUCUUCGGAGGCCCAGCCCCCAAACUCAGGCGGGGCACUGGCCUAAUUUGUUUAAAAAUCUGUUGAUUGAGUUCCACUAGGUGCCGGACAGCAGGUGGAAUGUUGUAUAUCUAUCAUCUCGGUGCCUCCCCAGUAUCUCCACAUGGGGAGUGUGGAAAUUAUGUUCAUGUUAUAGAGGAGAAAAUGAAGGCUCAGAGAGGGAAAGCCACAGGGCAGAGGUCACACAGCAAGCACGCAGCAGAGCCGGGAGUCCAAUUUGGAUCUGUUUGAGCCCAGAGCCCCUGGCCCCACCCCUGUACGUUUUCCACUGACCCCUCAGGGUGACACUCCCCCAGCUCACCCCUAAGUGGAGAGCAUUUCCCUUGGCCUCAUGGGAGGGUUGGGUAGAUUCGCACAAGCAGGUGCAAAUUUAUGCAAGAAUGAGUUCAACAGAGUGUUCACCAUGGUGGCCUGGCCCCCUCACACCUCAAACCCCAUGAGUGUGUCUGAGAUGCGUGAGAGAGUGUGCCCAUACAGUGGGGCCUGCAGAGACCUUCACUCAGUCAUUCAACAAACGCUUCGUGCAGGCCCACUGUGCACGAGGCCCUGUGCCGGGAGCUAGAGGAGUCGUGAGAACUGACUGUGCCUUGCGGCCCAGACACGCACACAAGUCCCACACACGUCUGAAUCUUCGUGCACGUGGCACCCGCUCUGCAGGCACAGGAGGGGAGGCCACCGUGUGUGACCGCAGGGAGAGAAGCUGUCACACCCGUGAAGCACGUGUGCCCCCUGCACACCCGCACCCCGGGGCAGGCGCCGUCCGCUGAGCGGGGCCCUGAAGUUGUUGGCGGCCGGCACGAUGCGGCGGUACAGGGACUAAGAUAGGAUGACAGAGGCCUGGAGUCCCCGGUGCUGUGGGCCAGCCUGACCCCAAUAAAAUUAAAUAAGAAGGAGUGAGAAACGAGAGGGCCGGCGACGGGCCCCGGUGACCCCGGGUCAUCGCCGAAGCCUGAGACAGACCAGCAAGGGCGACCGGAGGCUGCAGACGCGGCUGUGACCCCAGGGAGCCUGGGCUCUGACAGCCCCUGCGCCCAGGCGGGGUCCCCUCCGGAGCCCCCUCCCCCUUCUGCAGACGGGACACUGGAAACUCCCCUUUUCACGGGGCUGGCCCCUGGAAGACACAGAGGUGGGGGCUCCCCACUCCCCCAUCUGAAGGGAGCCUGGAGGCUUCUGGGCAGGGACCUGGUCCCCGCUGAACGGGGGGCCUCCCGCUGGCAGUCCCCGCCCCACGCUGGGGAGCCCCAGGGACGCGAAGGGCCGCCUGUGGGAUCGCAAAGGGGCUGCAGCCUCCAUGUCCCUCGGAGUCCCCAUCAUGGAGCCACAUGGGUGCACACGCCGGCCCCAUCCUGACCCCACAGCUGCAGCCAGCCCCGCGCAGCCCUGCAGCCUCAGGGUCCUCGUCUGAGAACUGGGGACCCGCCUCAGCCCGAGAGGCUCAUGGCUGUGGGAGGGGCCCACCGGCACACAGUCAGCACUCCAUAAGUGCACCUUCUCAUUAGGACGUUUCCAUCAAGCCUUAGCUUUCUGCUCAGUUGACGGCCGUCUCCCUGGGCGACCUUGGGCAAGUUCUUACCCUGCUCUGUGCCUCAGUUUCCCCAUUUGAAGAGCAGGACCUUAGCCCAAAUGACCUGGGGCCCCUGCUGCUUUACCAUUUCCGGUCACAAGCUCUGUCUCCCGAACUCCGGCUUUCUCUGCAGCCGUGACUGGAGUCAUGCAUUUCCCGGGAACAUCGGUCCUAAGGUCAAAGGUUAACCUGAAAUGUAAUUUCAGAGUCGAGAGUUCUCACUGAUCUGCCCCCAUGAUGCACCCCCCACAGCCCACGUCCCCCCCACAAGGCACCUUGGACAGCAAUAGCAGCCGCACCGACACAGCACCCUCUCCAUGCCAGGCACCGGUCUACAGACAACCCUUGAGACAGGACUAGCACCUCCAUUUCCCAUGCGAGGAAACCAGCAAACCAAGGCACAGAGAGGUUAAGCAACUUGCCCAGGACCACACAGCUCCAAAGUGGCUCAGCUGAGAUUUGAACCCAGGCCAUCCAUUGGGAUCUCAACCCCAGUGCCCCUCCACCCAAACGUGCCACAGACGGCGGAGCAUCAGGCCUGUGACAAACCAAAGUUCUGGAGUUUCCAGGGUGAAGAAACGUGACUCGGGCCCAGGCCACGCUGAAUUCCCCUCUUCUGUCAAGACCGGGCAGAAGGAAACCAGGCAUUUCACAUCCAUCUGACAUUAGGCAAAUUCUUAUAAAUAAAAUAGUUCCUAUAAAAGCUG